rnacentral:rRNA from 1 species
AACGGGGGGGGCGAAGCGUUAUUCAUAUUGACUGGGCGUAAAGGAUGCGUAGGUAGUAUUUUUAGGUUUUAUUCAAAUUACAGAGCCCAGCUUUGGUAUGGAUUAACGUCAAAAUUACUGGUAUAUAGCAGAGAAUAGUCGUACUUUUUUGUGUAGAGGUAAAAUUCAUCGAUAUUCAAAGGACGAACAUUAGGCGAAGGCAACUAUUUAGGUUAUAUAGACACUGAGGCAUGAAAAGCAUGGGGAGCAAACGGG